rnacentral:rRNA from 1 species
ACGAAGGUCCCGAGCGUUGUUCGGAAUCACUGGGCGUAAAGGGAGCGUAGGCGGCGUGGUAAGUCAGAUGUGAAAUCCCGGGGCUCAACCCCGGAACUACAUCCGAUACUGCCGUGCUAGAGGAUUGGAGAGGUAGCUGGAAUUCUUGGUGUAGCAGUGAAAUGCGUAGAUAUCAGAAGGAACAUCAGUGGCGAAGGCGGCUUCCUGGACCAAUACUGACGGUCAGGUGCGAAAGCGUGGGGAGCAAACAGGA